ACGGAAGGCAGCAGUGGGGAAUAUUGCACAAUGGGGGAAACCCUGAUGCGGAGACGCCGCGUGAGUGAAGAAGUAUUUCGGUAUGUAAAGCUCUAUCAGCAGGAAAGAAAAUGACGGUACCUGACUAAGAAGCCCCGGCUAACUACGUGCCAGCAGCCGCGGUAAUACGUAGGGGGCAAGCGUUAUCCGGAUUUACUGGGUGUAAAGGGAGCGUAGACGGCUUUGCAAGUCUGAAGUGAAAGCCCGGGGCUCAACCCCGGAACUGCUUUGGAGACUGUAGAGCUAGAGUGCAGGAGAGGUAAGUGGAAUUCCUAGUGUAGCGGUGAAAUUCGUAGAUAUUAGGAGGAACACCAGUGGCGAAGGCGGCUUACUGGACUGUAACUGACGUUGAGGCUCGAAGGCGUGGGGAGCAAACAGGAUUAGAUACCCUGGUA
rnacentral:rRNA from 1 species